GCAGGCAGAAUAUGGCUGCCCUAUUGUAAAAUAGGGAGGAAAGUCCGGGCUCCGGAGGAUAGUGUAACGGGUAAUCCCCGUCUCCUAAAGUGAUUUAGGACGGACCAGAGCCACAGAGACGAGUCCAGUUCUUGCACGCAAGAGCUGGGGUGAAACGAGGCAAUCUCUACAUGGAGCAAGGCAGAAUAGGAGACCAGCGCUGAUCCGGCGCGUUAGGAGUUUUUGGGUAUGCUGCUAAAGCUUGCGCGGUAACGCGCUCGUUGAGAGGAAUAGCCACUAAUCGAUGUCUGCCCGCAGGCUCUGCCCGCAGGCAGACAUCAAGACAGAACCCGGCUUAUUCUGCCUGCUUAU
rnacentral:RNase_P_RNA from 1 species